rnacentral:lncRNA from 1 species
ACAGCCUCAAGCCGCAAAUCAAGCACUUUGGCUGUGUGGUUGACCUUCUGAGCCGAGCGGGGAGAUUAACUGAUGCAGAGGAUUUGAUCGGUAGCAUGGAAAUCGAACCAGAUGCUGUUCUCUGGAGAUCACUUCUCAGCGCUUGCCUGGUUCACGAUGACAGACGAUUAGCAGAAGUCGCAGGAAAACGGGUCAUCGGCCUCGAACCAGACGAUGACGGGGUCCAUGUUCUCCUCUGGAACAUGUACGCUAGCUCAAAGAGAUGGGAAGAAGCCAGAGAAAUCAGGAAGACGAUGAGGAGCAGAAGGAUCAGGAAGAGACCCGGGCGCAGCUGGAUAGAGCUGAAUGGCGUCGUGCGUGAGUUCCUCGUGGAAGACAAGGCCCAUUUCCGCCAGACCGAAGUUUACUCGGUUCUGGAAGGGAUGGAGAAGCAACUAAGAUCCCAUUGUGAGCAGUACCACAAUUGGAUCA